rnacentral:rRNA from 1 species
UACGUAGGUGGCUAGCGUUACCCGGAAUUACUAGGUGUAAAGCGCAGGUAGGUGGUUUGAUAAGUUGAAAGUGAAAGCCCCGAUAAAAUCGGGGAUGCCUUUCAAUACUGUCAGGCUUGAGUGUGGUAUGGGGAACCAGAAUUCCCGGUGUAGCGGUGAAAUGCGUAGAUAUCGGGGGGAAUACCGAUGGCGAAAGCGGGUUCCUGGACCAUUACUGACACUGAGCUGCGAAAGCGUGGGGAGCA